CUGAGAUUUCAACAAGGAAACACCACGUCUCACACUUUUUCCCUGUAUUUCAGUGAGUAGAAAUAGUUUGGCUGAUAAGAUGAUACAGAGCCGGGAACCAAGACAACCCACAUGGAGACAUCUACAGUUGUUAUCUAGGAAAGCAGGGAAUAACCCAUUCUGGUCUUUUCAUUGGCCCCGGGCAGCAAAGGAGGUGCCCCACUCUGGUCUGUUUACUGAUGGAGCCAUACAACCUUCAACUUCUUAAUAAUUAUCUUGACUGCGCUCCAAGAGAUUUAAUGGCUUAUUUUAACACUCAUCUCCUUUCCUGUGUCUUUCCACAACUUCGUCUCUUGGUUCUUUUGAAAAUUCCCCAGUGCCAUUAGUUGAGUGAUUGCUUUUCAGUGGUCCACCCAAUGGAGGGAACUUUCAGGAACUGCAGAAUGCAUCCUGAAAUGAUGCAAGUCACUACAUUUUAACACUGGUGGAAGCAAAUUAAAUUGCUGUGAGGUUUUUAAGGUGAUUGGUUACGCCUGGGCUGUUUUAGGAUUUCUCAUGCAUGUGAGGUGAAGACUUAUCCAAUUAAAAUAUUUCCUUUUAUUAUUUUUAAUAGAUAAUUUCAUAACAAUGAAAAAAAUCCCCAAAGUUUUGUGAAGAAUGGUGUGUAGAUAAGUCGUUUUAUGCAUUUAAUCUUAUUUAAAUGCAUAAAACUCUGAGGCAGUGACACGACAACGUGUGAUGAUGUUCGAGCGGGUCUGGAUUUACAUGUUUCACCCUCAUCUGUUUUCAUUUUGGC